GGUUUUCAAAUUCAGAAGCCGACGAAAUCCGAAAGUACAGUUUUUGCAAAGAAAAUCAUUGUUAUAAACUUUCGUUCAAGCUAUCAAAGUCUACUGAACAGAAAAUACAUGGAAUGUCUAAAUAUACUGAACAUUUAGACCCCCCAGGAUUUAUGCCAGAUUUCAUUGUACCCAGAACAACAAAACAAGCAAUGGCUCGGGUACAAGUAUCUACAUAUCUACAGCCAAUGUUCAAAGAAGAACAUUGAAGAAAGAACAGACAACAAAGAAGAACAGCAUCUAACCUUUUUGCUGUUUUUUUGUCCCUCUAUGAAAAAAGUCGUCAAAAUGAACGAAAAGUAAAGCCUAUCUAUAGCCUUACUUUUUUGCUGUUUUUUGCCGACUUAUGAGAAAUAGAAAAAAUCGCUAAAAAUGGACGAAAAGUUAAGCCUAUAGCCUUACUUUUUUGCUGUUUUUUGCCCACUUAUGAGAAAUAGAAAAAAUCGCUAAAAAUGGACGAAAAGUUAAGCCUAUAGCCUUACUUUUUUGCUGUUUUUUGCCCACUUAUGAGAAAUAGAAAAAGUCCCUAAAAAUGGACGAAAAGUUAAGCCUAUAGCCUUACUUUUUUGCUGUUUUUUGCCCACUUAUGAGAUAUAGAAAAAAUCGCUAAAAAUGGACGAAAAGUUAAGCCUAUAGCUUUACUUUUUUGCUGUUUUUUGCCGACUUAUGAGAAAUAGAAAAAAUCGCUAAAAAUGGAC